ACAUUUGGCAAAUUGGACUCUGCAUGCGGUUCAACUGUUUGUCUGCUGUUUCCAAGGGAUGUUUGUCUUAUUGUGUUCAAUUCACGACGCUUAAGCUUGUGGAGUUGCGGAGCAAUACCAUACAACGACCACAACGAGAUCAAUGGAAAUGGCUGCUGUGCAAGGGCAAUUUUUUUAGCGUACGAACGAAUUCAGACCAGCAAGAACACAGAAAAGUUACAAGCUGCAGCAAAAAAAGAAAAGGAGGGUCAGCGAUUUGUGUGAGAAUGCUUUUGCAAACGCAUCUUCUUUUGUGAAUUCGAUUGAAGACAAUAACUCUAUUGUCUAGAUUUUGGGUUUUGAUCAAAUGACAAGCUGAGAGUGCGCAAGGUUUUGUCCGCAAUACUUACAUACAUACGGCAAAAAGAAAGGUGCCACUUCUGCAGUCAACGCAUAUUGCAGCAUGUCUUCAAGAAAUGCUGGAAGACUAAAAUUUGCUGGUGUGCUGCUUUUCUGUUACCACAUGCAACUGAAGCAGAAGAACAGAAUUUCUAACAAACUGCAUUAUUAGCUAUCAAAUUAUGUGAGUGACGUUCAAUAUACUGCUUGUAGAUGUUUGCUUUUAAGUGAAGACUUUGAUCGAGUACAGUUAUUGGCUGUAAAGGCAUAUAGAGCAUUUUAAAAUGAUCAUAAAAUCAUCAAAAAAUAAAUUCAGAUAUCAUUGUGCCAUUACAAA